rnacentral:rRNA from 1 species
GAACCUGCGGAGGGAUCAUUGCUGGAACUGUGUCCGCAAGGACACAACCCCAGAUACCCUUUGUGAACUUAUUCUUAUAUCGUUGCCUCGGCGUUGAGCUGGGGGCUUCUUUUCGAAGAAGCUCUCCCAUGGUUCCUCGUGGACGAUGGAGCAAGCCCGCCGGCGGCCCUUUUAAAACUCUUGUUUUUCUUACGUAUCUCUUCUGAGUUAUUCAAAACAAAAUGAAUCAAAACUUUCAACAACGGAUCUCUUGGUUCUGGCAUCGAUGAAGAACGCAGCGAAAUGCGAUAAGUAAUGUGAAUUGCAGAAUUCAGUGAAUCAUCGAAUCUUUGAACGCACAUUGCGCCCGCUGGAAUUCCAGCGGGCAUGCCUGUUCGAGCGUCAUUUCACCCCUCAAGCUAUGCUUGGUGUUGGAGCACUACCGUUUGCACAAAGCGGUAGGCUCUGAAAUUCAGUGGCGGGCUCGCUAAGACUCUGAGCGUAGUAGUUAAUCACCUCGCUUUGGAAGAAUUAGCGGUGCUCUUGCCGUAAAACCCCCAACUUCUGAAUUUUGACCUCGGAUCAGGUAGGAAUACCCGCUGAACUUAAGCAUAUCAAU